rnacentral:lncRNA from 10 species
AAAAAUGUAUUAAAGUAUAUCAGUAUAUUUAACCACAUUAAUUUUGAAAUACAAUUAAUAUUAUUCAUGAAAUAUUAAACCAUUACCCUGUACGUGUAGCGGGACGAACCACAGACAAGAACCCCUCAGACGACACCGAGUUGUGGAAGGAAAGGGCUUUAUUCAGCUGGAAGCAUCAGCAGACUCACGUUUCCAAAAACCGAGCUCCCCGAGUGAGCAAUUCCUGUCCCUUUUAAGGGCUUACAACUCUAACGGGGUCCGCGUGAGAGGGUCGUGAUCAAUUAAGCAAGCAGUGGGUACGUGACUGGGAGCUGCAUGCACCGGUCAUCAGAACGGAAUAAAACAGGACAGGGAUUUUCACAAUGUUUUUCCAUACAAUGUCUGAAAUCUAUAGAUAACACGAGCAGUUAGGUCAGGGGUUGAUUCUUAACUACCAGGCCCAGGGCGUGAUGCUGGGCUAUCUGCCUGUGGAUUCCAUUUCUGCCUUUUAAUUUUUACUUCUUUCUUUGGAGGCAGAAAUUGGGCAUAAGACAAUAUGAGGGGUGGUCUCCUCCCUUAUUCCCCCACUUUGAGAACCUCAGUCAAUUAGUGGGAGUUCUCACUUUCAUCCUCACUACCCAUGUAUUCUUGCAAGACAGAUCGAUAGUGAUUCAUAUAGUACAGUUGUUCUGAAGCAUUUUGGUGAACUAAGGUAGCGAUGAAGCUUUUUAUCAUUUGAAGAAGUACAGGUAGCAAACAAGGGAGCAGUAAGCAGGUUCCUAUUACUAAUAUAACUCCUAUUAUAAGAGUUUUAAAUCCUCCUAACACUGGGAACCAUUUUCCAAACAUGGCCCCAGGAUCAAAUCCAUGCCACACUUGCAUGGGCACAUGUGACAGUUUUAUCAUAUCUCUGACUAUGUCUUCAACUACUUGCCCUUGAUCAUCUACGUGUAGACAGCAAUUAGUAAGGUUAAAUUUCCCACAGACCCCUCCUUCAGCUGCUAGCAAGUAGUCAAGAGCCAAUCUAUUUUGAUAGAUAGCAUUUCUCAUCUGAGUCUCUUGACAGGCCAGAAUAGUCAAGGCUCUGUCGGUUUUAUUAGUGAUUCUUUCUUUCUUUUCUUUUUUUUUUUUUUUUUGAGAUGGAGUCUCACUCUGUCGCCCAGGCUGGAGUGCAGUGGCACAAUCUCGGCUCGCUGCAAGCUCUGCCUCCCAGGUUCACGCCAUUCUCCUGCCUCAGCCUCCCAAGUAGCUGGAACCACAGGCACCCGCCACCACCCCUGGCUAAUUUUUUGUAUUGUUAGUAGAGACGGGGUUUCACCAUGUUAGCCAGGAUGGUCUCAAUCUCCUGACCUCGUGAUCCACCUGCGUUGGCCUCCCAAAGUGCUGGGAUUACAGGUGUGAGCCACCGCGCCCAGCCCAUAUUAGUGAUUAUUUCUAAGACAGCUUGUAACCAUAUGAUUUGGUUGAGCAUGUAAAUGGGGGUCUAGUAUCCCCAUGAACCAUCUCGUCCCCAAGUAGCAGGUCCAUAAUAUUGUAUGAUUCUCUCUGGGGGCCAUUCAUUAUCUUUCCAAUUUCCUAUAGCUAUGCUUCUUUUUUCAUGGGAAGCAUAGACAGGGAAGCCCAGGAGUUCGCCUGUCUUUAUGGACAGUAGGAAGAAAGAUGGUUUAAUAGUGCCAGUAAUACAACUACCUGCCCACUGGCCAGGUAAUUUAGCGUAAGCUCUAUGCCCACAUAGCCAGUAUAAUCCAGUGGGGGCUGUCCAGUCCUAGUGGGACUCCAGGUGGGUCCACAUGGUUUGCAACCUUGGGAAUUUACUAAAUGGAUUCCUUUCUGUGUGAUUUGAACUCCACCAAGUGACUGUUUUUGUGGUACCAUUAUACAGUUUCUGUCCCAGACAACUAAGUUGUCCUAAGGGGUGAGUGAAUUAUUUUCCUUCUCUAGCUAUGCAAUAUUGUCCAAUAAUUGAGGCUUCAGGGUCCAGAAAUUAUCAAGGUGACUCUUUUGAGCUGGGAAUUCAUUGGGAACUGGGUCUGUAGGUACUAAUUCUUGGGCUUCCCAUGGCCAUUGAUCUCCCAUCACAGUUCCUCCACAUACAUAACAUGAAGUGACACUGAGAGACUGGGCUACAUGCUUGGCUAAUUGCAAAAACAAAUUUCUUGUUUUUCCUGGAAUUUCUGGUACUGGCACAUUUAGUUCAUCUUAGAAAGUUUGAAACACUGGCUGAGCAGAGCGUUUGUAAACUUCUCCUCGAACUAAGAUAUUUACUCAAGGAUCCAGUCCUGCCCCAUCGAUUCCUAAGGUCACAUGCUCCCCUCUUUUCCAGCAAGGAUCAAGGGGAUUGGUUGUUGCUAGCUCUAAGGGGUUACAUUGUCCCUUAGUACAGGAAGGGCCACUUUUUCCUUUCUGAAGUGGACUGGAUCCUUUUCAUUUUUUUAUCCAAGUGGCCUAAAUGACACAAGACCAGUGUUCACAUUCAUUUCCACACAGUCCUAAUUCAUGACAAAUGUACUUAUUUUCAGUCAUAUCGCCUUUUUCCCAAAAGAGCCACAUCCCUUUCCUAAUUUACUGCCACUAAUGACAGCACAGGCAUCAAAUUUCAAGAUUAUGUGUUUGGGCACCCCUUUCUCUUCUGUUCUGGCUAUUACUUUACUUGUAUCAUUUACGCGUCCCCACUAGUCUUCAGCCCUUAAUCUUAUUUCAAAAACCGUCAGCCACAAACGCCGGCCCAUUAUCUAAGCCAAUUCGUAAGGGCAGUCCAAACCUAGGAAUAAGGUCUCAGGGAAGCACACGGGUUACUUCGUAGGCCUUUUCAGUUUCGUGUUGGAUAAGCUCAGAGGGGUCAUAACACACAGCUGGCCGGUCGUUUCCUAGGCUACAUACCUUGUACUGAGUGUCAGUAUAUAAACAUGUUCCUUUUAAAGUUCCUAGGCAUUCACAGUAACUAUAGAACAGAAAGAUUGUUUUAACUUGUUGCCUUACCUCAGUAACCUGAUGUAUACACUGAGAGCAGUCCUCCAUGCGGGGAAAAUCAGUGGAAGUUUUUACUAUACAAGUCCAAAUUAUAAGGAAAAUGAGUCCCACGAUGAUUCUCCUCAUGCUUCGGCCGUGCGUAGACCAGUCAGCUUCCGGGUGUGACUGGAGCAGGGUUUGUCGGCCUCCUCAGAGUCACUUCGCAGGGGUUGUCCGGGCUCGGUUUUGCCUCCCAGGUUUCAGCGGCUGCCAGUUUCACAUGGCUGUGGUGGAUCCAGGCUGGGAUUCCUUCUACCUUUACAGCCGUGGGGGUGGUCAGGAUGACGGUCUGAGGUCCUUUCCACCAUGGCCGCAAAGGGGCUACGUUCCAGUCCUUGAUCCACACACGAUCAACUGGAAAGAAAGGAUGAACUGGGGAGAACAAGCUGACAGGACACCUCUCAUUUACCCAAGUCGAGAUUGUCUGUGUAAUUUUUCCCAAAGCCUGUAGCUGUCGCUGUAACUCAAUGUCACCUAACUCUCGGGGAGUGCCUGGAAGUCCCCGUAGUAUAGUAGGAGGCCUAUGAUACAGUAUUUCAUAAGGGGAGUAUCCUGUUUUCUUAGAAGGGGUGCAUCUAAUUUUAAACAAUACCAUAGGAAGGGCCUGUAUCCAUUUUAAUCCUGUUUCCUGACGUGCUUUCCCUAAACCAUUUUUGAUAGUCCGAUUAAUUCGCUCCACCUUUCCGAAACUCUGAGGUCAGUAGGCGGCACGCAGCUUCCAAGUGAUUCCUAAUGCCUUUGCUGUCUUCCGUACCAAGUCAGCCACAAACGCCGGCCCGUUAUCUGAGCUGAUUCAUAAGGGCAGUCCAAACCUAGGAAUAAGGUCUCGGAGAAGCACAAGGGUUACUUCGUAGGCCUUUUCGGUUCGUGUUGGGGAAGACUCCGCCCACCCAGAAUCUUCAGAGGGAAGGCACCAGAAUGAACAAAGGGAAGACACAGAAGCUAGGCUGAAGCAGGAGGAAGCUGGGAGCCCUGCAUGGGGCUACUAUGCACC